AGAGUUUGAUCCUGGCUCAGGACGAACGCUGGCGGCGUGCCUAACACAUGCAAGUCGAGCGAUGAAGUUUCCUUCGGGAAAYGGAUUAGCGGCGGACGGGUGAGUAACACGUGGGUAACCUGCCUUAUAGUGGGGGAUAGCCUUUCGAAAGGAAGAUUAAUACCGCAUAAGAUUGUAGUAUCGCAUGAUAUAGCAAUUAAAGGAGCAAUYCGCUAUAAGAUGGACCCGCGUCGCAUUAGCUAGUUGGUGAGGUAAUGGCUCACCAAGGCGACGAUGCGUAGCCGACCUGAGAGGGUGAUCGGCCACAUUGGGACUGAGACACGGCCCAGACUCCUACGGGAGGCAGCAGUGGGGAAUAUUGCACAAUGGGCGAAAGCCUGAUGCAGCAACGCCGCGUGAGUGAUGACGGCCUUCGGGUUGUAAAACUCUGUCUUCAGGGACGAUAAUGACGGUACCUGAGGAGGAAGCCACGGCUAACUACGUGCCAGCAGCCGCGGU
rnacentral:rRNA from 1 species